UACGGGGGGGGCAAGCGUUGUUCGGAUUCAUUGGGCGUAAAGGGUGCGUAGGCGGCGCGGUAAGUCGGGUGUGAAAUCUCGGAGCUUAACUCCGAAACUGCAUUCGAUACUGCCGUGCUUGAGGACUGGAGAGGAGACUGGAAUUCAUGGUGUAGCAGUGAAAUGCGUAGAGAUCAUGAGGAAGACCAGUGGCGAAGGCGGGUCUCUGGACAGUUCCUGACACUGAGGCACGAAGGCCAGGGGAGCAAACGGG
rnacentral:rRNA from 1 species